CUACAGAACAGCAUGCCUUUGGAAAUGCUCGGAGUAUGUAGCCUGACAGCAAGAGCACACUGCGCUCUUCUGGCUAUUUCUCAACAUGUCAGAGGGACAGGAGUGUGCUCAGCCUUGUGUGGUUGCACGUAUGCAAAAAUCCCUAUCGCAGCUGUAAACAUCUUUGUUGUUCUGCUUUACAGCAGUAGUGUGUGACGAGAAGCCUACAACUAUCAAUUUAGAGGAGCUCUUGCGCAAUAAAGAAGCAUUUCAACCGCUGCUUCUUGCAGCAGUACAGUGUUUCCAAAGAGAGAAAAACACCACUACUGGCAUAAGCUGGAUUUCUGCUGUUGGUUGAGCAUGUGCAGUGGAAUUGCCAGGUCACAGCCUGAGCCAGUACGUGAGCACAUGAGUGCCUGGAGCUGGGGGAGCCUAGCUCCACCCUUCCUCUUUCUCCGUCCCAGCAGUGCUUCUGGGAGCGCGUGC